rnacentral:rRNA from 1 species
UGGGGAAUUUUGCACAAUGGGCGCAAGCCUGAUGCAGCGACGCCGCGUGAGGGAUGAAGGCCUUCGGGUUGUAAACCUUUUUCGCUCAUGGUCAAGCCGCAGCUUUGGGUUGUGGUGAGGGUAGUGGGUAAAGAAGCGCCGGCUAACUACGUGCCAGCAGCCGCGGUAAUACGUAGGGCGCGAGCGUUGUCCGGAAUUAUUGGGCGUAAAGGGCUUGUAGGCGGUUGGCCGCGUCUGCAGUGAAAUCCUCUGGCUUAACUGGGGGCGUGCGGUGGGUACGGGUUGACUUGAGUGCGGUAGGGGAGACUGGAAUUCCUGGUGUAGCGGUGGAAUGCGCAGAUAUCAGGAGGAACACCGGUGGCGAAGGCGGGUCUCUGGGCCGUUACUGACGCUGAGGAGCGAAAGCGUGGGGAGCGAACAGG